rnacentral:rRNA from 1 species
GCUUGUCUCAAAGAUUAAGCCAUGCAUGUCUAAGUAUAAACGACUUUAUACUGUGAAACUGCGAAUGGCUCAUUAAAUCAGUUAUCGUUUAUUUGAUGGUCCCUUACUACAUGGAUAACCGUAGUAAUUCUAGAGCUAAUACAUGCAUCAAGCCCCGACUUCUGGAAGGGGUGUAUUUAUUAGAUGGAAACCAAUGCAGGGCAACCUGGAAUAUGGUGAUUCAUAAUAACUCGCGGAUCGGUUUACCGAUGCAUCAUUCAAGUUUCUGCCCUAUCAGCUUUGGAUGGUAGGGUAUUGGCCUACCAUGGCUUUAACGGGUAACGGAGAAUUAGGGUUCGAUUCCGGAGAGGGAGCCUGAGAAAUGGCUACCACAUCCAAGGAAGGCAGCAGG